rnacentral:rRNA from 1 species
UACGUAGGGGGCUAGCGUUGUCCGGAAUCAUUGGGCGUAAAGCGCGUGUAGGCGGUUCGGUAAGUCCGCUGUGAAAGUCGGGGGCUCAACCCUCGAAUGCCGGUGGAUACUGUCGGACUAGAGUACGGAAGAGGCGAGUGGAAUUCCUGGUGUAGCGGUGAAAUGCGCAGAUAUCAGGAGGAACACCAAUUGCGAAGGCAGCUCGCUGGGACGUGACUGACGCUGAGACGCGAAAGCGUGGGGAGCAAACAGG